rnacentral:rRNA from 1 species
GAUGAACGCUGGCGGCGUGCCUAAUACAUGCAAGUCGAGCGAAUGGAUUAAGAGCUUGCUCUUAUGAAGUUAGCGGCGGACGGGUGAGUAACACGUGGGUAACCUGCCCAUAAGACUGGGAUAACCCCGGGAAACCGGGGCUAAUACCGGAUAACAUUUUGAACCGCAUGGUUCGAAAUUGAAAGGCGGCUUCGGCUGUCACUUAUGGAUGGACCCGCGUCGCAUUAGCUAGUUGGUGAGGUAACGGCUCACCAAGGCAACGAUGCGUAGCCGACCGGAGAGGGUGAUCGGCCACACUGGGACUGAGACACGGCCCAGACUCCUACGGGAGGCAGCAGUAGGGAAUCUUCCGCAAUGGACGAAAGUCUGACGGAGCAACGCCGCGUGAGUGAUGAAGGCUUUCGGGUCGUAAAACUCUGUUGUUAGGGAAGAACAAGUGCUAGUUGAAUAAGCUGACACCUUGACGGUACCUAACCAGAAGGCCACGGCUAACUACGUGCCAGCCGCCGCGGUA